rnacentral:lncRNA from 1 species
CUGAUGGGACUUCAAAGCUGUCUGAUCCAUCUCUAAACUGUUUUGUCUGUAAAAAAAAUAUUUAUUAAAUUUAUAAAUAUAUCAUUGAAUACAGAUCGUAUUUAGUUGAAUAAUCACAUCUGUUUUAAAGUAGCAUACUUCUUACAGGCACAACGAUGUGAUUUUUGGAUCGGACACCAUCUUAUAUAUCAUAUUACGAAGAGCAGC